GGAAAAUCUAUGAUUCUUCUCUCUGAAGCUGAGUAGGUUAUUUCCCUUCUACUAAUGGAAGUGACAUUGAGAAAGACAGUCCCAAAGGGAAGACCCUAGGCUAUGUACCAUGUGAAUGGUUCCCUUUCAGGUAACAGAGAAAUAAGGAAAAAACGAGUAGUAAUCUACUGGACAGGUGAAAAAGAAGCCAGUAUCAUCUCAUGUAGGUUUACCUGGCUGCUACCUGUGAGGUUGGAGAAGCGUCUUCUGGCCACUUUUCAUUUCUCUUGGUUGGUCCAGCAUGCUGAUGCAAUGCCCAAAUCAUAUACUCGUUUGGAUUUUGGCUCACCCUGCCCUGUGGGAAGCAAUGAUUUGGAGCCUGUCACCCACUUUGGGCCCAGCCAUCCAUGUGAGUAGGCAUUCUCACCCAGUCUUCAAACUCUCGUCUUA
rnacentral:lncRNA from 1 species